ACGAACGCUGGCGGCGUGCCUAAUACAUGCCAGUCGAACGCACUCUCGUUUAGAUUGAAGGAGUUUGCUCCUGAUUGAUAAACAUUUGAGUGAGUGGCGGACGGGUGAGUAACACGUGGGUAACCUGCCCUAAAGUGGGGGAUAACAUUUGGAAACAGAUGCUAAUACCGCAUAAAACCUAACACCGCAUGGUGUAGGGUUGAAAGAUGGUUUCGGCUAUCACUUUAGGAUGGACCCGCGGUGCAUUAGUUAGUUGGUGAGGUAAAGGCUCACCAAGACCGUGAUGCAUAGCCGACCUGAGAGGGUAAUCGGCCACACUGGGACUGAGACACGGCCCAGACUCCUACGGGAGGCAGCAGUAGGGAAUCUUCCACAAUGGACGAAAGUCUGAUGGAGCAACGCCGCGUGAGUGAAGAAGGUUUUCGGAUCGUAAAACUCUGUUGUUGGAGAAGAAUGUAUCUGAUAGUAACUGAUCAGGUAGUGACGGUAUCCAACCAGAAAGCCACGGCUAACUACGUG
rnacentral:rRNA from 1 species